rnacentral:rRNA from 1 species
GGCUCUUGGCGGUGGAUCACUCGGCUCGUGAGUCGAUGAAGGACGCAGCUAGCUGCGUGAUUUAGUGUGAAUUGCAGGACACAUUGAGCAUCGACGAUCUUAACGCGAAUUGCGGCCUCGGGUUAAUCCCGGGACCGCGCCCGCCUCAGGGUCG